rnacentral:rRNA from 1 species
UACAGAGGUCUCAAGCGUUGUUCGGAUUCAUUGGGCGUAAAGGGUGCGUAGGCGGCGCGGUAAGUCGGGUGUGAAAUCUCGGGGCUUAACUCCGAAACUGCAUUCGAUACUGCCGUGCUUGAGGACUGGAGAGGAGACUGGAAUUUACGGUGUAGCGGUGAAAUGCGUAGAUAUCGGGAGGAACACCAGUGGCGAAGGCGGUUGCCUGGAGCUUUGCUGACGCUGAUGCGCGAAAGCGUGGGGAGCGAGUCCGG